AGGAUGAACGCUGGCGGCGUGCCUAAUACAUGCAAGUCGAGCGAACGGACGAGAAGCUUGCUUCUCUGAUGUUAGCGGCGGACGGGUGAGUAACACGUGGAUAACCUACCUAUAAGACUGGGAUAACUUCGGGAAACCGGAGCUAAUACCGGAUAAUAUUUUGAACCGCAUGGUUCAAAAGUGAAAGACGGUCUUGCUGUCACUUAUAGAUGGAUCCGCGCUGCAUUAGCUAGUUGGUAAGGUAACGGCUUACCAAGGCAACGAUGCAUAGCCGACCUGAGAGGGUGAUCGGCCACACUGGAACUGAGACACGGUCCAGACUCCUACGGGAGGCAGCAGUAGGGAAUCUUCCGCAAUGGGCGAAAGCCUGACGGAGCAACGCCGCGUGAGUGAUGAAGGUCUUCGGAUCGUAAAACUCUGUUAUUAGGGAAGAACAUAUGUGUAAGUAACUGUGCACAUCUUGACGGUACCUAAUCAGAAAGCCACGGCUAACUACGUGCCAGCAGCCGCGGUAAUACGUAGGUGGCAAGCGUUAUCCGGAAUUAUUGGGCGUAAAGCGCGCGUAGGCGGUUUUUUAAGUCUGAUGUGAAAGCCCACGGCUCAACCGUGGAGGGUCAUUGGAAACUGGAAAACUUGAGUGCAGAAGAGGAAAGUGGAAUUCCAUGUGUAGCGGUGAAAUGCGCAGAGAUAUGGAGGAACACCAGUGGCGAAGGCGACUUUCUGGUCUGUAACUGACGCUGAUGUGCGAAAGCGUGGGGAUCAAACAGGAUUAGAUACCCUGGUAGUCCACGCCGUAAACGAUGAGUGCUAAGUGUUAGGGGGUUUCCGCCCCUUAGUGCUGCAGCUAACGCAUUAAGCACUCCGCCUGGGGAGUACGACCGCAAGGUUGAAACUCAAAGGAAUUGACGGGGACCCGCACAAGCGGUGGAGCAUGUGGUUUAAUUCGAAGCAACGCGAAGAACCUUACCAAAUCUUGACAUCCUUUGACAACUCUAGAGAUAGAGCCUUCCCCU
rnacentral:rRNA from 1 species